GGGUCGUUAGCUCAGCUGGUAGAGCAGCGGACUCUUAAUCCGUCGGUCCUGCGUUCGAGCCGCAGACGGCCCACCA
rnacentral:tRNA from 1 species